UACGUAGGGUGCGAGCGUUGUCCGGAAUUAUUGGGCGUAAAGAGCUUGUAGGCGGUUUGUCGCGUCUGCUGUGAAAAUCCGGGCGUCAACCCCGGACUUGCAGUGGGUACGGGCAGACUAGAGUGCGGUAGGGGAGAUUGGAAUUCCUGGUGUAGCGGUGAAAUGCGCAGAUAUCAGGAGGAACACCGGUGGCGAAGGCGGGUCUCUGGGCCGAUACUGACGCUGAGGAGCGAAAGCGUGGGGAGCGAACAGG
rnacentral:rRNA from 1 species